UCUUUUUGGUGUAUUAUUUCUGUUCUCACACUGCUAUAAAGAACUACCUGAGACUGGGUAAUUUAUUUUCUUAAAGAGGUUUAAGUCACUCACAGUUCCACCAGCUGUACAUAAAGCAUGGCUGGGAGGCUUAAGGAAACUUACAAUUAUGGUAGAAGAUGAUGGGGAAGCAAGCACAUCUUAUCAAGGCAGAGCAGGAGAGAGG